rnacentral:rRNA from 1 species
UACGUAGGGUCCGAGCGUUGUCCGGAAUUAUUGGGCGUAAAGGGCGCGUAGGCGGCUUUAUAAGUCGGGGGUGAAAGCCUGUGGCUCAACCACAGAAUUGCCUUCGAUACUGUAGAGCUUGAGACCGGAAGAGGUAAGUGGAACUGCGAGUGUAGAGGUGAAAUUCGUAGAUAUUCGCAAGAACACCAGUGGCGAAGGCGGCUUACUGGUCCGGUUCUGACGCUGAGGCGCGAAAGCGUGGGGAGCAAACAGG